rnacentral:lncRNA from 1 species
UCUUGAUCUGAUAGGAUUAGUGUCCUUAUAAGAGGAGACACCAAAGAGUGAUAUCUCUCUCCCAAACACAGGGAAAAGCCACACGAAAACAUAGAAGAUGGACUUCUACAAGCCAUAAAGCCAUCCCUCACUAUAAACUGAAUCAUCUGGCACUUUGAACAUGGACUUUUUGCCUCCAGAACUGUGAGAAAAUAAAUUUCUGUUGUUUAAGCCACCAGUCUAUGAUAUUUUGUUAUGGCAACCCACAUAGACUAAUACAGUGAUUAAAGUCAAAAUCUCAUUCAAGCAGCUCAUUAUCUUGUGGAGCAGAUGGAGAACCUCCUUAGAGAUCCAGGGAUGCCACACAUCAUGGAUAACAUCCAUGCUCUGGACCUCAUCAAAACCAGACUAACCCCAAAUGAGUGAGCUGCUGGUGGCCUGAACUCUGCUGGGGCGCUCUGGACCCACAGGAACUGAAAUAGUUUGCCUUCAUUAUCUGGUAGACCUGCUCAAGUCUGAAGCCCCUGACAGAAACCACAAGACUGUACAAACUGGCAACUGUGGGUUUGUCUGUUCUCUAUUGAUUCUAUUUCUGGAAAAAAACACGAACCAAUGGGUGAACCAUGUGACUGUACAACUGACCCAAAGCUGCCAUCACAAGGGGGAUGAAGACCUUUGCAGACAGGCAUGUGGAGCUAUCUCUACUCCUCUAUGUAUUAAAAUAUACCUUCUGAAUGACAGCCGCAACAAACAAUCAUCUAAAAUUGAGGAGGACGACCAGGAAAAGGCUUUGGUGCAACUCUUGCCUUGCCAGAAACUUCCGCCUUGGAGGAGAGUGGGAGAGGAGUGGGAGCCUUGCUGGUGCUUUAGUGAGGGUGAGUACCUCACAGCAAGUCAAGAGGCAGAGUUCUGAAUGUGUAUGAGCUCACGACCAGAUUCAUGCAUUUUACUGAAAGGCAUAACGUCAAAAAUUGGUAAAGAAUGAACACAAGGCACAUUUCAGGACCUCCUCAAAGUUUCUGGAAAAUUGAAAUGAUGCCAGGACUCUCAUGUUCUUUCUUCACCCACCAAGGAGGUUUUGCCAUGGCACUCUGGCUGUGAACUCUAUUCUAGAACACUUAAAUUGACACUAGGGGAUGGUAUUUUAAGAUAUUUACUAAAUAGAGUUAGCUUUUCCUUUUUCCUGUCCAGCUUGAAUUCUCAGUCCCCUUUCUCUACUCUUAUGUGCUUAGUUGUCCUCUCUCACUACUGUUCCAGGGCAUGGAGUUUUGUUAAAAUAAUUCUUAGAAAUGUAAUUGGUUGUGGAGUUCUUAUUCUCUAAUUCACAAGUAUACAAUGAUAAUCUACUCUGGGCAAGCAAUGAUUAAUUAGAUAAAAUAUUACUGCUUAGGUAAUGAACUUAUUCAAUGGAACUAAGUUGGUCACAAAGAAUGACCUUAGAAGCUCUAGACCAGCCUUCAGAGCUUCCUUGUGCUCAAGAAUUGCCUUUAGAUAACAGUCCAAGGCAAACAGGGGCCAGAUAUCUGAAACAUUAAUAAAGGGAUCCUGUGAUUAGGUUAGUUUCACUAAAAUAAUCUCCCUAAAUUAAGGGCAACUGAUUAGUAACCUUAAUGACAUCUACAUAAUCCCAUUUGCCAUGCAAAAGGUUUUCUUUGUUUUUGUUUUCAAUUUAAGAGACAUUAGAAUACCAGCAUGGAUUUCUUUAAAUCCUCAUACAUAGAUGCUAAGCACUGCUUCAUCCUUGGACAGUCACACUGCAUCUCAAUAGUUUCUGUUGAGCAACCCUGGCAUGAUUUUUUUUAAACUCCUGCUCUCUUCUUUUAUGCUGUCUCUUAUUCUGAAUCCUCAUUCUGCUUGUAGCAUCAUUCAUGUGCACCUGAAUAUGCAGUUAAGACUGCUUAGUGGAUCCAUCUGUGUGGAUCAUCACUUUAUAUUCUGUAUGCACACUCACAAAUCAAAUACAGAUUUGAAAUAACUAGGAUAAUGUUUAAAACACUCUUUUCAAACUCAUUCAGCCUUGGAUUUAUAUAGUCGUUAUUGUAGUUUCUACAGGCACUUAACGCUAAUCAUUCACUACGUGUGUACACAUGGGGAGAGAGCCAGUCUGAACCAGAAGAAACUGUAUGCACAGUUUCAGGCAAUGAGUUUCACAUAGUGGUUAAUCAAAGGCAGGUUUAUUUCCAGGGGUGCUGGAAAACUCUUUGAGUUCUACUAUUCAAGGGAAUACCUUAAAUAGAACUUUCUAAGAAAAACCAAGUAGCCCAAGUGUCCAGCACACAUUCUCACUCUUGGGAAAGGCAUCUGCUUGACAGCAGAGAACACGGCUGCCAGCUAAUGACCAAGCUGUAUUCACUACCUGCACAAAAUGGCCUGGAAAAUUUCCAUUCUUGCCAAGUAGUGAUUUUCAGAGUGGUUAGUCCCUAAUGUUCUUUGAUCCAAAAAAGUGCCCAAAGUGUAUUCCAUUUCUGAGUCAGGUCAUCCCUGAAGCAAACCCUGAGCCAAGGAUUGAAGUGCAAGUGAUUAAUGGCAGGCUGGUCUCACUGGAGAAACUGAUAAUGCAGUACAGAAAGGGGAAAGAGAAGAAUCAAGAAAAGGGGAAAAUUCAGGUGAAAUCCCAACUUUAACCAGAUUCUAGAAAAAGCUGUGGAGAUAAACUACAAGUCUGUUUGUCAUUUCAGGGCAAAAAAAACCCUGGCUUUGUGUCCCUAAUCAUCCCAGAGAGAGUCUAUGGGUUACCCACAGGAGACAUGAACUCCUAGGCAUUUGCUGAUAGAUCCCUAUGAAAACAAAGUGACUCCAGUAACCCCAGGGCAGUCCUCUGGUAGCAGCUGGAAGCAAAACAUGUAGACAGCAGAGAACAUACCUUGGGGAAAGGGGAUGAGGGAUCUGGCUGCAGUAUCAGCUGGGCACCAUUAUGGAUCCUACUUCUGUAAGCCUCUGGAAAAAUGUUCAACUUUCUUCUGCAAUCCUAUCUUCCACUUUCAUGACUUUCUUUGCUUUUACCUGAGAAUCAGUCUACUGUUUUUGUGGACUUUCAGGCAGGGAAUUGGGGAAGAAUUCACGGAUUCUAAAGCAUGAAUUAGUACUAUAAUGCUACAAGUUAUCACUGCUAGUCUGAAUAGCAACAAGUGUAAAGAAAUUUUGGCUACAAGGACAAGCUCUGCACACAGACAUUGUAAUCAUUAAUGAGCCAUUGUGGGUGUUUUCUAAGGAACCCUAGACAAAGAGCUUUGGAAGAGGUAUGGUAUGGCAGAUAAAAGAGCACAGAGGGCUUUGGAGUCAUGGGACCUGAUAUAGUAGCCAUAAUCCUAAAAUGGUACUCAUGACCUACAUCCCAGCAUUACUCUUUGGUAAUUAUAUGAAAAAAGGACUUUUCAGAUGCAAGUAAGAUUACUGAUGAGUUGACCUUAAGACAGGGAGAUCAUCCGGGUGGGCCAGAUCUAUCCAGGUGGAUUCCUCCCUGAGCUUCCAGAAAAGGUCUUACCCUUAUUAAGACAUAGAUUUCAGCCUUGUGAAGCCCUCAGCAAAAGAAAAAAAAAAUCCAGUUGACUCCACCUGGAUGUCUGACCUACAGAACCAUGAGAUACUAAAUGGGUGUUUUUUAAGCUGUUAUGUAUGGUUAUUUGUUAAACAGGAGUAGAAUCCUGAGACGCUAUGUUCAAAUUCUACAUUGUUACUGCCAAAGUGCUCUAAUUACACAUUAGUUUUCCAUGGAUGCUGUAACAAAGUACCACAAACUUGGUGGCUUAAAAGAACAGAAAUUUAUUUUCUCAGAGUUUGGAGGCUUGAAGUCUGAAAUCAUUACUGCUUAGCCAAAAUCAAUCAUACUCUCUCUCUCU